ensembl:lncRNA
GCAAUUCAGCUGUGUGACAGGAAGGGAUGGAGUCUGGCUGCACCUCUCUUUGACCUCAUUUAAGGGCUGACUGCCACUGGGGAAGGAUCUCUUUCUGGAGAUCUGUCCUUGGUGAAGCUUUCCCCUGUGAACCUGGAAUCUUCUGGUACAGCAGUGGCCUCAAGGGAGCAGCAUGAAGGCAAGGCAAGCACACGGUGAUACUUUUCAGAGUCCUCUCCCAGAUUUCAGUGAUCUGCAGCAGAGUGGAGGUCUUGCAGCGUGCUUAGCUUGCUCAAAUCUAAGUGCUCUCGUCAUGGUGCUGUUUGAAAGAACUAAGCUUCCAUCACUUGAAAAAUGGUGUGAACGUGGGGGUCGGGCUGGAUGGAGAACAACAUAUAAGAAAACUCAGAGCAGUGCUGCAAUUCAGGUUUGCUUCGAUUUGUUAUGUUGUGGGACUGAAUCACUGUGGUGUGCUGAAUCCCUCCUGGACACUCGUAGGUUCUCCAGCAGCUGCCCCUCUCCACUGGCAGCUCCUGCCUGUCUCAUUCUUGCAUGUUGACCCUGUUAUAACUUACCAAUGUUGCAUCUGCCCCACUCUGUACUCUGAUUAAAUUAGAAUCCCAUUAGCCACAAUUGGCUGUCAGACAAAGGAAAUGCCAGAUCUUAUUUUCA